GAACCGGACAAACGUUAUUCGGGAAUUAUUGGGGCUUAAAGGGUGCGUAGGCGGCGCGGUAAGUGAGGGUGUGAAAGCCCACGACUCAAUCGUGGGAACUGCGCUUCAUACUGCCGUGCUAGAGGGAGACAGAGGUAAGCGGAACUGAUGGUGGAGCGGUGAAAUGCGUUGAUAUUAUCAGGAACACCAGUGGCGAAAGCGGCUUACUGGGUCUCUUCUGACGCUGAGGCACGAAAGCUAGGGUAGCGAACGGGAUUAGAUACCCCGGUAGUCCUAGCUGUAAACGAUGAGCACUUGGUUGGGGAUCCUCCCAUAGGUUCCCGACCGUAGCGAAAGUGUUAAGUGCUCCGCCUGGGGAGUAUGGUCGCAAAGGCUG
rnacentral:rRNA from 1 species